rnacentral:tRNA from 1 species
CUGAACACUCCUCCUUCAAUG